rnacentral:piRNA from 2 species
UGCCAAUAGACUUGGAAUGAGGAGGGCAUC